UGGGGAAUAUUGCACAAUGGGCGAAAGCCUGAUGCAACAACGCCGCGUGAGUGAUGAAGGUCUUCGGAUUGUAAAGCUCUGUCUUUUGGGACGAUAAUGACGGUACCAAAGGAGGAAGCCACGGCUAACUACGUGCCAGCAGCCGCGGUAAUACGUAGGUGGCGAGCGUUGUCCGGAUUUACUGGGCGUAAAGGGUGCGUAGGCGGAUGUUUAAGUGAGAUGUGAAGUACCCGGGCUUAACUUGGGUGCUGCAUUUCAAACUGGAUAUCUAGAGUGCAGGAGAGGAGAAUGGAAUUCCUAGUGUAGCGGUGAAAUGCGUAGAGAUUAGGAAGAACACCAGUGGCGAAGGCGAUUCUCUGGACUGUAACUGACGCUGAGGCACGAAAGCGUGGGUAGCAAACAGGAUUAGAUACCCUGGUAGUCCACGCCGUAAACGAUGAGUACUAGGUGUAGGAGGUAUCGACCCCUUCUGUGCCGCAGUAAACACAUUAAGUACUCCGCCUGGGAAGUACGAUCGCAAGAUUAAAACUCUAAAGUGAAUUGACGGGGUC
rnacentral:rRNA from 1 species